UCUACAAAUAUCCAGCAAUAUGUUAUGAAUUAAACUUCAGAAUGUGAAUGAGGCUGAUAUGAGUCACAAAUAUUGCCAGCUAGUGAACGUCAAGACCAUCAGGAAAAAUGAGUCUCCACGUGACACCCUUGUCUAGAGCAAUAGGUAACCACUGACCUGGACAGUGCUGCUGGUCAAGCGGCAGAUUCCAUCUACCAGGGCAGGCUUCUGAAAAAAAAACCAUUGACACCUGUCACUAGUCCAAGAGCAUAAACAUGAGUUCAACAAGAGGCCCAGGGCCACAUCGCUCACCUGAGCCACCUUGGCUCACAUUUAAAGAUUUUCCCUAUAAUUUGUAUGCAAAACUUGUGACCCCAUCCUACCCCUGCGGCUAUGAUUUGAUCAAACUGAAAUCUGAAAUAUGUCAGAAAGCUUUCAGGUAAAUAUCAGCUUUUUUGGCUCAGUGGUACUUGAGAAGAUUUUUAAAGAUUUUUCUAUAUAUUGGCAUUUAAAAAUUUGAUCCCCUAUUGUAGCCCCAUCCAACCCCCGGGGGCAUUGAUUUUAACUAACUUGAAUCUGUAUUAUAUCAGGAAGCUUUGAAGUACAUCUCAGCUUUUCUGGCUCAGUGGUUCUUGAGAGGAAGAUUUUGAAAGAUUUAUCCUAUAUAUUUGUAUGUAAAACUUUGACCCCCUAUUGUGGUCCCAUCCAACCACCGGGGGGGGGGGGGCAUGCUUUGAACAAACUUGAAUCUGCAUUAUGUCAGGAAGCUUUCAUGUCAAUCUCAGCUUUUCUGGACCAGUGGUUCUUGAGAGGAAAUUUUUUAAAUGACCCCACCCUAUUUUUGCAUUUUUGCGAUUGUCUUCCCUUUGAAAGGGACAUGGCCCUUCAUUUGAACAAACUUGAAAGCCCUUCACUUAAGGAUGCAUUGUGGCAAGUUUGGUUGAAAUUGGCGUAGCGGUUCUUGAGAAGAAGUCGAAAAUGUGAAAAGUUUACGACGACGACAGACAACGAACAAAAGGACUAGAGCCACAAACCCCAUAUUAUGGCCCUUAAAAUAUAUAAAAAUGAAAGUAAGUGUUGAAUAGGAGUAUUGGUGUUAUAAAUAUGUAUCAGAAUCCGGGGCUUAAAAAAACAUGUUAGAUUUUAAAAAUAGGAGCACAACUAAAGCUGUAUACAUACUAGAACCGGAUAUGGUACCGUAUUUCGGUCAUUUUCCACCAAAAACUGGUUAUUUUGUAAAGGUUUUGUCAUACUGGUUUCAUCUCGCCCAAAAUAUUUAAAAUAUUUUUAUAAUAUACACCUUUUCAAUUGACCAUAAAUGCAAAAAUAUUUUAGGGCGAGCUAUGAGCACUAUUUUUAUUUUUUUAAAAAACGAUAUUCCGGAUUGCUGAAAAAUAUUACGGUUAUAAUGCGCUAGUGGUGGUAAACUUGAAUUUUACAGAAAAUAUGGCUGGUUUAAGUAUCUUAUGGAGAAGGAAACUACGUUUUUUAUUUCGUGUCAUGUAUAUGUACAUAGGUCAUUUUAGUUCGGUGUUUAUUUUUAAAGCAAGGGAAAUUCCCUCACCUAAUAAGUUUUCGGUUGCAGCUUGUUUUGCCCUUUUACUAUAGAUGUUCAUUUUCAAUACCUAGUUGUUUUCAUCUUUUAAAGUCGUUCACAAUACAUCUUCAUUGCAUCGUUGCUUAAAAACUGUGUACAAUUUUGGUAGUUUUACAUUAUUAUCAUAAACAUUAUCAUUGAACGAAACGACAGUUACCGAAACUGUUAGGCCUAGUGACUGAAAUGAACAUGGCGCGGCGUCUUCUUUCACUUUGGGAUAUCGGAAAAUAUUCAGGCUUCAUGCAAGUAUUCUUGUAUGGUAACCCGUAUGAAAUUUUUAGACAUACUACGCCUGGAAAUCAAAGAAAUCCAGGCGUACAAGAGACGUAUUUUUGAAAAUACGGUUAAACUUGAGACGUACACGUAUUUUGACAAAAAUACGUCUCCUUAACCCAAGGCGUAUUUUUCAAACUCCAGGUGGAUUUUGGAACUUUGUUCAUUCUAAAUAGGGAAUUCAGAGACUUAGACUUUUCAAGAGGCGUAUUUUUUUGUUAAAAGAACUUAGUCAAUUUCAUGAGACGUAUUAUUAUAAAUCCAGAUGGAUUUUCUAACUUUGUAACUUUUUUUGAAAUUGAAGCUUAAUUCUCUUUAAAUUUCCCAAAGAUGUUAAUAAAUAAUUGGCAUAAUUUUGUCAUAAAUUUGAGACACAUUUAUUCCAGUCAUAGUAUUAAAUAAUUGAUCAUUAUAAACAAACUUCUUAUAUCAAUCCACAAUGAGAAAAAACUUUUUAAAACAAGAUGUGUUAGUGAAACAUAAAUGCCCCCGAUAAUGGCCAAUUCCGAAGAUGGCCAAGGUCACAAGAACAAAUAUCUUGGUACCAGUAGAAAGAUCGUCACAAGAAAUGCUCAUGUACAAUAUGAAAGCUCUGAUAUUUACCAUUUAGAAGUUAUGACCAAUGUCAAUUUUUUUAAAAGUAGGUCAAAUGUCAAGGUCAAAAUGUUUAGUACCCAUUGAAAGGUCUUGUCACAAUGAAUACUCAUGUGAAAUAUCAAAGCUCUAUCACUUACUGUUCAAAAGUUAUUAGCAAGAUUAAAAUUUUCAAAAAGUAGAUCAAACGUCAAGGUCACUGGGUCAAAAAUAUUGGUACCCACGGAAAGGACAUGUCACAAGGAAUACUCAUGUGAAAUAUCAAAGCUGUAUCACUUACUGUUUAAAAGUUAUUAGCAAAGUUAACAUUUUCAAAAAGUAGAUCAAACUCCAUGGUCAAGGUCACUGGGUCAAAAAUAUUGGUACCCACGGAAAGGACUUGUCACAAGGAAUAAUCAUGUGAUAUAUCAAAGCUCUAUCACUUACUGUUCAAAAGUUAUUAGCAAGGUUAAAAUUUUCAAAAGUAGGUCAAACUCCCAAGGUUAAGGUCACAGGGUCAAAAAUGUUGGUACUCACGGAAAGGUCUUGUCACAAGGAAUACUCAUGUGAAAUAUCAAAGCUCUAUCACUUACUGUUCAAAAGUUAUUAGCAAGGUUAAAGUUUCAGACAGAAUGACAGACAGGACAAAAACAAUAUGCCCCCCGAUCUUCUUCGAUCUCGGGGGCAAAAAAAAAAAAAGAAUAUUAGAACUGCAUUUUUCUGGGUUAAAGGAUUUGGCAUUUAACUAUAAAAUAUAACUACAUCCAAUAUAUUUGAUCAAAAUAAAGCCUCGUGAGCUUCUAUACCGUAAUUCACGUUUCCAACCUUGAUCAAAAAAACGCUUACGAUAAGAUGUGGUAGAUAAGCAUAUGCAAGAGUCUGGAUGACCAAGACUUUAACAGACUUCCGCCAAAUUUGAGCCCGCCAUCGACAACAUGAGCAGGAAAAGAGUGGCAAAGUGAUGAAAACGAAGAUUCUGAAGCUAAUACAGCCAGAAAAACGGGUAGUGACGAUUGAACUAAGGAAAAUUUAAAAUGCUGAAAUUAAAAGGAAGAAAAAAGAAAUUCAAGCCGAAAACAAGAAGAAAUAAAGAAGCAAUAAUAGACUCAAACCAGCAAUCUUUGCAAAUGCAAGAAUGUAGAACCCAGCAGUAAUUACGUGCCCGAGUCCUGCAGUUCGAAUGUUCCAGUACUCGUCGGCAACACUUCUGGACGUAGCAGUAUGCUUAAGACUACUACAUCAAUCAGCAACACACCUGUACCAGUCAGCAACUUGAAAGAACCCUGCUAUACUCGUGUGUCUGUGCCAUACAAUAACUCAGUUGUACUUAAUGGUCAAGAUGUGUUAACCUCUGUCAGCAACACCUCAGUACCUUGCAGUUAAAAUAAGCCUGUGCCAGUAAGCAACUCGAAAGAACCCUACUGUCAUACUCGUGUGCUUGUGCCAAAUAACAAAAUUUCGAAUGUAAUUCUUUGAGAUUUAUUUUUAAUCAACUGCUCUAAUAAUGAUGACUGUGCUAUUCAAAAUCUCAACGCUCUUAGCCUAUGGUCUUUUCUCAAAGAUUCAGUGUUUGAUGAUUUGUGGAUUCAAAGGAGAGUAUAUAUAUACAUUAUUUGCUGUGGUUCGGAAUUACCAUAGUGCUUAACAGUAAUCUUAUUACAGUUUAUUUCUAGUCAUCAUGAUCUAUUGUUUUAAAAUAUUAAUUAAGCUCUGAUUUUAAUUGUAUAAUUUCAUUUUGAUUAUGUUUAUAACCUAAAUUCAAAUCUUUGUCAGAAAUCAAUCUGUUAUGUUAAUGAAUAUUUUGCGUUUUGCAUAUCUAUACGCAUGGGGGGGAAAUGGAUGCGCAUCGAUGGGCUGAUAUAAUUUUUUAUCUUUCUAUUUCAAAUUGGUAUAAUUGUCAAUUUUGUGAAAUAUUACAUGGUAACUGUUGUAAGUUUCAUAUAAUGUCCAAAAAUUGUUACAGAUAUAGCACCCCCUUGUAAUUAACCUUUUACAAAUUUACUCUAUGGGACAUAAACUGACAAAUCAUUGGAAAAAAUUCAACUCUACUCCAUGAAAUGUAUUUGAAUUUUAAUAUCACAUGUAUAAUGUGUCUAUUUUUUAUCAUUUUAAAAAUUUGUUUGCAUCCUUAGGAUCAUUAUGAAUUUGUGUUAAUUACUUAUUGAACUACAUAUUACAUAUAUUAUUAGAAAUAUUUAAAACUACUAUACAUCUGUACAAUCUCCUUUGUUAGUUAUAUGAUUAUUAUUAAUGUACUUGUCAACUGAUGAAAAAUUUAAUCUGUUACACAGGCAUAAUUAUGUAUUGUUAAAUACAGUUCCAAUUUUCAAAUACCUGUCA